AGGGCUGUUCUUCUGCCCAUCCCUGCACUCUCUCCUUUAUCUGCUCCUCAAGCUGCUCAUCUCUUCACUCAGCACAGAGAGUCAUCACACACUGACAAGAUGCUGCCAGCACUCUGCUCUCUCUUCACUGCUCUCUCAUGUGUCAGUGGUGUGACUGUGGUGACACAGAAGCCUCCUGUUCUCACACCCACUAAAGGAGAGACGACCACUAUGUACUGUAAUCUGGGGACUGUUACUAAUUAUGCAGCUCAUUGGUAUAAACAGGUUCCAGGAGAAGCUCCAAAGCAUGUAAUAAGAAA